rnacentral:rRNA from 1 species
CCUACGGGAGGCAGCAGUGAGGAAUAUUGGUCAAUGGACGGAAGUCUGAACCAGCCAUGCCGCGUGCAGGAAGACGGCUCUAUGAGUUGUAAACUGCUUUUGUACAAGGGUAAACCUGAAUACGUGUAUUCAGCUGAAAGUACUUUACGACUAAGGAUCGGCUAACUCCGUGCCAGCAGCCGCGGUAAUACGGAGGGUGCAAGCGUUAUCCGGAUUUAUUGGGUUUAAAGGGUGUGUAGGCGGAGUGGUAAGUGAGAGGUGAAAUGUCCGGGCUUAACUCGGGAACUGCUUUUAAUACUGUGGUUCUAGAGAGUAGAUGCGGUAGGCGGAAUGUAUGGUGUAGCGGUGAAAUGCUUAGAGAUCAGAAAGAACACCGAUUGCGAAGGCAGCUUACCAAUCUAUAUCUGACGUUGAGGCACGAAAGCGUGGGGAGCAAACAGGAUUAGAUACCCGGGUAGUC